GGGCCUGUAGCUCAACGGCAGAGCACCUGGCUGGCAGUCAGGGGGUUGUGGGUUCAAAUCCCAUCGGGUCCA
rnacentral:tRNA from 1 species